rnacentral:rRNA from 1 species
UACGGGGGGGGCAAGCGUUGUUCGGAAUUACUGGGCGUAAAGGGUUUGUAGGUGGCUUGUUAAGUCAGACGUGAAAUCCCUCGGCUUAACCGGGGAACUGCGUCCGAUACUGGAUGGCUUGAGUUUGGGAGAGGGAUGCGGAAUUCCAGGUGUAGCGGUGAAAUGCGUAGAUAUCUGGAGGAACACCGGUGGCGAAGGCGGCAUCCUGGACCAACACUGACACUGAGGAGCGAAAGCCAGGGGAGCAAACGGG